rnacentral:rRNA from 1 species
CCUACGGGUGGCUGCAGUGAGGAAUAUUGGUCAAUGGGCGGGAGCCUGAACCAGCCAAGUCGCGUGAGGGAAGACGGUCCUAUGGAUUGUAAACCUCUUUUGGCGGGGAGCAAUGCCGGGCACGUGUGCCCGGAGGGAGAGUACCCGCAGAUUAAGCAUCGGUUAAUUCCGUGCCAGCAGCCGCGGUACGACGGAGGUUUCGCGCGUUACCCGGAUUUAUUGGGUUUAAAGGUAGCGUAGCUGGGUUGGUAAGUCAGUUGUGAAAGUUUGGGGCUCAACCGUAUAAUUGCAAUUGAUACUGGCAGACUGGAGUACAGACGAGGUAGGCGGAAUUAGUGGUGUAGCGGUGAAAUGCUUAGAUAUCACGAAGAACUCCGAUUGCGAAGGCAGCCUACUAAACUGCCACUGACAUUGAUGCUCGAAAGUGUGGGUAUCAAACAGGAUUAGAUACCCGGGUAGUC